CCUACGGGCGGCUGCAGUCGAGAAUCUUUCACAAUGGGGGCAACCCUGAUGGAGCGACGCCGCGUGGAGGAUAAGGUCUUCGGAUUGUAAACUCCUGUCAUGCGAGAACAAGGUUGCAGGGCUAACACCUUUGCAAAUUGAUGGUACCGCAAGAGGAAGAGACGGCUAACUCUGUGCCAGCAGCCGCGGUAAUACAGAGGUGUCAAGCGUUGUUCGGAAGCGCGGGGCGUAAACGGUGUGAAGCUGGCGUGAAAGCCCGGGGAUCAACCUCGGAAUUGCAUCCGAUACUGCCAUGCUGGAGUACUGAAGAGGUGACUAGAAUUCUAGGUGUAGCGGUGAAAUGCGUAGAUAUCUAGAGGAAUACCAACGGCGAAGGCAGGUCACUGGGCAGUUACUGACACUGAGGCACGAAGGCCAGGGGAGCAAACGGGAUUAGAUACCCUAGUAGUC
rnacentral:rRNA from 1 species